UACGUAGGUGGCAAGCGUUGUCCGGAAUUACUGGGCGUAAAGCGCGCGCAGGCGGCCUGUUAAGUCUGAUGUGAAAGCCCCCGGCUCAACCGGGGAGCGCCAUUGGAAACUGGGAGGCUAGAGUCUAGGAGAGGAGAGUGGAAUUCCAGGUGUAGCGGUGAAAUGCGUAGAGAUGUGGAGGAACACCAGUGGCGAAGGCGACCCUUUGGCCUAUAACUGACGCUGAGGCGCGAAAGCGUGGGGAGCAAACAGG
rnacentral:misc_RNA from 1 species